GGUGGUAUAGCUCAGUGGGAGAGCGAGCACUUAGUCUACCCGAGGUCCUGGGUUCAAUCCCCAGUGCCUACA
rnacentral:tRNA from 1 species